GUAUUUCGCUCCCUAACCCUUGCUCCUUCUUCCUCCUUCUUCUCUCUCUCUCUUUCUCUCUCUCUUCCUUGUGUGCCUUCAGUCUGGGAGGCCCUUUGCUGAUUCCAACUGGAACAUCUAACAUGGGACACUAAUUCAGCUGACUGGAGGAAAUCUCUUCACUGCUGGCGCUGACAACGGAAGACUGAGGGUGACCGGGAUCCUUCACCCCCAUGCCUAGUGAGUCCACAGAACCCAGGGUAAUUGGGAUGGUGUCCGGUGCACUAAGAUAGGGAAGCUAAAGGCAGACUCGGGAUGCCUGCAACUGCAGGAAGAUGUAUUGGAACAGACACAAAACUCUCCCUCCCAGAUAAGCACAACAAAGAGACACAGAAGCAGUCCAAGCCUCUGAUAAACUCUCCCACCCUAAAUCCUUAAAAAUUCUUAGUCUGUAAGAGAGUGCGGCUUCUGACGUAACUCAGAAGGGUCAGAAGUCCCUCCCAGGUUUAAAAUAAAUCUGUUGACUGUCAAGCCACCCUUCAUGUUUCUCUCCUCUUUCUUUAAUUCUUACAGAGGCUGCAGUGAGCUAUCAUACCACUGCACUCCAGCCUGGGUGACAGACCAAGACCCUGUCUCAAAAAAAAAAAAAAAAAGAAGCCCUGGCGAGGUGGCUCAUGCCUGUAAUCCCAGCACUUUGGGAGGCCGAGAAGGGUAGAUCACUUGAGGAAGUGGGCAAGACAAGAAGCCUGGUGAGGAGCCACCGUGAGGCAGUUUCU
rnacentral:lncRNA from 10 species